rnacentral:rRNA from 1 species
AUGCAGAAGCUUGUUACAAUUGAGAAGCCAGUAGACGACGGUUGUUCUGACUAUCAGAUCAUGCGGACAGAGGAAAGUAGUCUUGGACUCAUCAUCUUGACAGAACUGACCAUGCAGUUAUGGAAGCGGAAGGUCAGUUCUGAUGAUGUUGCUACAUGGGUCCUUCAGAAAACCAUUGAACUGACAAUGCACCUUUGGCCAAGACAGUCCGUCCAGGUCUUCUGGACCAGGAUACAUGGGUACGAGGAGGAUCACUAUGUGAUAUUUCUGGGGACAUCUAGUGGUUCUUUCAUGAUUCAACUCGACUCAAUGCAGUUCAAUAACCGAUUCCAGUUCAACUCCAUCUUCACCUAUUUUCCCUACACAAGCUUUUAUGCUGCAGGU